UAGGGAAUCUUCCACAAUGGACGAAAGUCUGAUGGAGCAACGCCGCGUGAGUGAAGAAGGGUUUCGGCUUCGUAAAGCUCUGUUGGUAGUGAAGAAAGAUAGAGGUAGUAAACUGGCCUUUAUUUGACGGUAAUUACUUAGAAAGUCACGGCUAACUACGUGCC
rnacentral:rRNA from 1 species